CGAGCCUCUCCCCGAUUCUCUCUUCCUCUCCGACCUCUUCACCUUCUUCCGGCCAUAACUCCUCCAUCCGGCGACGGAUUUUGAAGUGUAAGAUGUCGUUGGAAAGCUCUCUUCCUUCUCUUCAUUUCUGGGUUCGUUUCGUAGCUUAAUAUGAACUGUGGAAGGUGCAGCAACGAGAAGAAGAGGACGGUCACUGUAGCAGUUUUGAGUCAACGCCGAUAUUUUCCGAUUCCGGCAGUCUCCGGCCACAAAAUUGGCGUCGAAGGGUUCUUGGAAUUUCUGGAAAAUUUUCACCGGCCAAAUUGGAGCUCUUCCAGGGCAAUGCCGCGAGCUACGGUUAAAUGAAGGAACUCGUUUGCGUGGUCGCCCAAUAGUACUUUUGCAGGCGAAAUUAGUUGAGGUCGGGCGUACAUGGAGUCGAGGCAUAGCCAACAGCAUUGCUUCCGCGUACUCAUUCUAUUUCUGUUUUCUUUGUUACCUAGUGGAUUAGUAUUGCUCUGAUAACCUAUGGGAUUAAUAUUGUUUUUGGGUUGAGACUGAUAUUUGUGAAAUUGGAGUUGUGAUUUGGGGAGCAGAUGGCUCCAGAA